AAACUUACCUGACAGGGGAGAUACCAUGAUCACGAAGGUGAUUUUUCCAAGGCAAGGCUUAUCUUUUCAUUCUAAAUAUGCCAACCUCUGCAAUUUCUCCAAAUGUGGAAAACUCGAUGGCAUAAUUUGUGGUAGUGGGGGACUGCAUUCACACUCUCCCCUG
rnacentral:snRNA from 1 species